CAAACUUGAGAGUUUGAUCCUGGCUCAGAACGAACGCUGGCGGCAUGCCUAACACAUGCAAGUCGAACGAGACCUUCGGGUCUAGUGGCGCACGGGUGCGUAACGCGUGGGAAUCUGCCCUUGGGUUCGGAAUAACAGUUAGAAAUGACUGCUAAUACCGGAUGAUGACGUAAGUCCAAAGAUUUAUCGCCCAAGGAUGAGCCCGCGUAGGAUUAGCUUGUUGGUGAGGUAAAGGCUCACCAAGGCGACGAUCCUUAGCUGGUCUGAGAGGAUGAUCAGCCACACUGGGACUG
rnacentral:rRNA from 1 species